AACGAACGCUGGCGGCAGGCUUAACACAUGCAAGUCGAGCGCCCCGCAAGGGGAGCGGCAGACGGGUGAGUAACGCGUGGGAAUCUACCCAUCUCUACGGAAUAACUCAGGGAAACUUGUGCUAAUACCGUAUACGCCCUUAGGGGGAAAGAUUUAUCGGAGAUGGAUGAGCCCGCGUUGGAUUAGCUAGUUGGUGGGGUAAAGGCCUACCAAGGCGACGAUCCAUAGCUGGUCUGAGAGGAUGAUCAGCCACAUUGGGACUGAGACACGGCCCGAACUCCUACGGGAGGCAGCAGUGGGGAAUAUUGGACAAUGGGCGCAAGCCUGAUCCAGCCAUGCCGCGUGAGUGAUGAAGGCCCUAGGGUUGUAAAGCCCUUUCACCGGAGAAGAUAAUGACGGUAUCCGGAGAAGAAGCCCCGGCUAACUUCGUGCCAGCCGCCGCAGUAA
rnacentral:rRNA from 1 species